rnacentral:rRNA from 1 species
AGUGAACGCUGGCGGUAGGCCUAACACAUGCAAGUCGAACGGCAGCACAGUAAGAGCUUGCUCUUACGGGUGGCGAGUGGCGGACGGGUGAGGAAUACAUCGGAAUCUACUUUUUCGUGGGGGAUAACGUAGGGAAACUUACGCUAAUACCGCAUACGACCUACGGGUGAAAGCAGGGGAUCUUCGGACCUUGCGCGAUUGAAUGAGCCGAUGUCGGAUUAGCUAGUUGGCGGGGUAAAGGCCCACCAAGGCGACGAUCCGUAGCUGGUCUGAGAGGAUGAUCAGCCACACUGGAACUGAGACACGGUCCAGACUCCUACGGGAGGCAGCAGUGGGGAAUAUUGGACAAUGGGCGCAAGCCUGAUCCAGCCAUACCGCGUGGGCGAAGAAGGCCUUCGGGCUGUAAAGCCCUUUUGUUGGGAAAGAAAAGCAGCAGGUUAAUACCCCGCUGUUCUGACGGUACCCAAAGAAUAAGCACCGGCUAACUUCGUG